rnacentral:miRNA from 1 species
AUGCAUGGAUUGCCUUUUAUUUUAUCUAUCUAUCUGUUUAUCUAUCUAUUUAUUUUUGUCAUAAAAAUAAAUAGAUAGAUAGAUAGAUAGAUAGAUAUCUGGAGAUGGCAAUGGGGUUGAGCGAGGA